CCCCACUCUACCUAGUCUACUUGUUUCUUUUAGAAAAUAACAUUUCUGAAGGCAUUAAAUAAAUAUAUAUACAUAACAGCACCUACAUGCUCUUAUGUCACAGUUGCCCACACAUCUACAUGUGGAGGGUACACACACACACAAACACACAAACACGUACUCUGUAAAAUUAGUAGGAGUGAUAAUCAUGGUGUUGAUGGUCCUUUACUCCCUUGAAGACAAACACAAGUCAUAUACACCAUUACAUUACACACCUACACACACGCGCGCACACAAACUGAUAGACUCUACUGUACAUCACACACAGUAUCCACCCACUUAUCGCUCCAUCUAAUUAUACUUUUGUGAACCGUGCCUUUCUAAAGUCAUGCAGAGGAGGACGUAGCUGCCGGAGAUAAUGAUAACACAUAUCAGACUGACGAGAACAAUGAUGAGUUUUCAUCAUGUUGUUGUUGUCAUGGCGGGUGGUUUGUAAAAAAAAAAAAAAAAGUUUGUAAAAAAAAAAAUGCAGCCAUUGUACAGGUGACCAUCAUGAUUGGUCACUGUUGGAGUUUAAAGAUUUGUAAUGUCACAUAUAUAGGUGCAAGAAACAUAUUUCAAUGUAAUUCUACUUGGAUAGCAUAGCUCUGCUACAGCACAAACCAAAAGCUAGGUUUUCAUAUACUGUAUUUAAAAUGUGUUUUCUGUCGCUGAGAUCCUAUUGGAGAAUCCAGCUGUCAGUCCGGGUUCAAAUUGAGUUUCAAAACAUCACAAAUACAGAAUAGCAAUACACUCAGUAGAACACAGAUGGCAGUGUGAGCUUUUUUUUUUCUUCUUCUGUCAGGCAGGCAGUGUGUUCUCUGACUUUUGUCUGUCUUUUGCUGUGUACUUGUACUAUUAUUUUGGGCAUCAUUUUGUUGAAUUUAACUGCAGGGCUGGGUUAGAAACUCACUGCGGCCUCGUUGUACCGUGUGACGAAGUACUUAUUUAUUGUGGCAGUGCUAACAGACAACUAAAGCGACACGGGUGUCGUUCAAGUAGUUCGUUUGAGUAUCGCAGACGGAGGACGACUGUGGUAAAAGCUGCAGAGUGAUGGGUCCUGUCGCUGCCGCCCUCACAGGAUCUUCGCAGCCUGGCUGCAGUGGCGACAGCAGCAUCGUUGGUAACGGUAACGGUGGUAACGCCGGUAACGGCUGAUCCCGACAGAUCUGGGCGUGAUGUAGAAUUUCGUGUCUCCGCGGAAAGAAAACCGGACGAGCUGAAAUUUAGCGCAGGUAAAUAAUCACGGUGGCCGAUUAUUUUAACACCGCACUGUUACUGCGUGGCCACACACCGGCGUGCGCGUGCGCAUGCCAACCGCUUUAUUGAGGCUGUUUAUCGACAACUAUCGCCGAUCAGUGACGGAUCGAUCAGCUGUUGAUUGAUUUUCAAUUUCUCCACGUCAUACGCGGACGACGCAGUCCAGGAUUGGGAAUAUAAAAUCGAUUCUCAGCGUGAGCGACUGACAUGAUCGAUAACAUGUGACAGCGUAUCGACCAUCUGUGUUGUCUUUUUGCCGUCCUGGCAGCCCAUCUGGGCUUCACGCCGUCCUUCUUCUUCCUCCUUCCCCCUCUACAGCAGGGCAACUGAGAAGAAAAACUCACCCCAGUGAUAAAAACCAAAGCAGCUUCUGAUCACAC